rnacentral:rRNA from 1 species
AUGAAGUAUAUGACAAAUCUCUGUCACCUAUAUACUAAUGGAUGCACAUCAUUGGAGUGCAUGCCUCCAGACCUCGGGCAACUUACUUCUCUUCAGACUCUAACAUAUUUUGUGACGGGCUCUAGUCCUGAUUGUAGUACUAUUAGAGAACUACAGGACUUAAAUCUUGGUGGUGAAUUGGAGCUUUCUUCUCUUGAAUAUGUAACUGAAGAGCAUGCUAAAGCAUCCAAUCUUGGAAAUAAGGAGAAACUCACUCAUUUAUCUCUUAAAUGGAGUGAUCAUACGACUGACGUACUGGACCAGCAUAGGAGUGUGCUUGAUGCUCUUAAACCUCAUGCUAUGCUGGAGUUUCUAGGAAUAUCUUCAUAUGGAGGUACUGGUUUCCCAACAUGGAUGACAAGUCUUACUUUUCUGCAGCAUUUGACUAGGCUCCACCUAGAUGGUUGUACAAUGUGUGAGGAAUUUCCACAAUUCGGCCAAUUUAAGGCUCUUGAAGUUCUUGUUUUAAAAAGGUUGAACAAAUUGCAGAGCCUAUGUAGUCACAAUUCAUCUGCAGCGUUUCCAGCAUUAAAAAAUCUCAGUUUGGAAAAUUUGGAUGCUUUUGAGAGAUGGGCGGCAACCGAAGGAGAGGAAUUAACAUUUCCUAUACUUGACAAUGUUGUAAUUGUGAACUGCCCAAAGCUGACAACUCUACCUGAAGCACCAAAACUCAAAGUUAUAGUGCUAGCAGAAGACAAGGCUCAACUAUCCUUAUUAGUGUUAAGAUCCAAUUACAUGCCUUACUUGUCUGGGUUAUACCUAUCUGUCAGCGAUACAGAAGCAACACCAACACCGAAGCUUGACCAAGAUCAUGAAGUGUCUCUUUCCGUCAUGAAUUUGACUGGUUGCAGCUUUUUGUUCUCAUCAAGUCUAUUGCAGUCAGCAGGUGGGGUCUGGAAAUGGUUUGGUCAGCUUGUGAGGUUGCAUAUUAGUUCUUUUGAUACGCUCAUCUACUGGCCUGCAGAAGAGUUUCGAAGCUUGGUAUCAUUGCAUAGUAUGAUAAUUCGAAAUUGCAGCAAGCUAAUAGGCCCCGCCCAGGUGAAAGGAUGCCGUACUCGAGGUAGGGAUCAAUUCCUGCCAAAUCUAACUGCCCUAUAUAUAGCUGGUUGUGGGAACUUGACAGAGCUUUUCGUUCUUCCCUUGUCCCUCACGACUCUGAACAUUUAUGAGUGUUGUAAUCUUGAGUUCAUACUGGGGCAGGAUGAUAGAGAGUUGGAGAGUCUACAACACUUCGAUACAAUAGCAUCGUUGGAACACUGCGAUGGCCUUGCAUCCGAAAAUAUGCCAGAACAGUCGCCUUCACCCAGAAUUAAUCCUUUUCCAUGUCUCAUGUCUUUAACUAUACAUUACUGUAACAAGAUUCGUUCAGUGCGAACAUAG